rnacentral:rRNA from 1 species
AGGGCACCACCCAGAAUGGAGCCCGGCGCUUAAUUUGACUUCACACGGGAAAAUUUCCCUGGGCCGGACACUGGAAGGAUUGACAGAAUGAAAACUCUUUCUUGAUUCCGGGGGUGGGGGGGCAUGGACGUUCUUAAUUGGGGGAACGAUUUGGCUGGUUAAUUCCCAAAACCAACGAAACUCUUGCCUAGUAAAUAGACUGCCGCGCUUUUUGUUGGCCGAACCGUGCUUCUUAUACGGAGCGGGGACGGCUGGGCGGACGAUAUUGAUGAUUCUUAGAGCUGCGAGGCCCUUAUAUGCCGCGCGACGCACACCAGCUACAGGGAAGGGAUGCCCGUGUAUGCCCUGCGCCACAGGCACGCUACACUGACUGAAUCACCUUCGUGGUAACGUUUCCUACUUGCACUUAUUCCCCUAACCCGAUGAAUCUUCUUCAUGAUUGGGACAGAAGAUUGUAAUGAUUACGUCUGUGCCCUUAGUUCACACCGCGCGCCAGUACUACGCUUGCGUUGAUUAAGU